AGAGUUUGAUCAUGGCUCAGAACGAACGCUGGCGGCAGGCUUAACACAUGCAAGUCGAGCGCGUGGCAACACGAGCGGCAGACGGGUGAGUAACGCGUGGGAAUCUACCGGACCCUACGGAAUAACGCAUGGAAACGUGUGCUAAUACCGUAUACGCCCUACGGGGGAAAGAUUUAUCGGGGUUUGAUGAGCCCGCGUUGGAUCAGCUAGUUGGUGGGGUAAAGGCCUACCAAGGCGACGAUCCAUAGCUGGUCUGAGAGGAUGAUCAGCCACAUUGGGACUGAGACACGGCCCAAACUCCUACGGGAGGCAGCAGUGGGGAAUAUUGGACAAUGGGCGCAAGCCUGAUCCAGCCAUGCCGCGUGAGUGAUGAAGGCUCUAGGGUUGUAAAGCUCUUUCACCGGAGAAGAUAAUGACGGUAUCCGGAGAAGAAGCCCCGGCUAACUUCGUGCCAGCAGCCGCGGUAAUACGAAGGGGGCUAGCGUUGUUCGGAAUUACUGGGCGUAAAGCGCACGUAGGCGGACAUUUAAGUCAGGGGUGAAAUCCCGGAGCUCAACUCCGGAACUGCCUUUGAUACUGGGUGUCUUGAGUGUGGAAGAGGUGAGUGGAAUUCCGAGUGUAGAGGUGAAAUUCGUAGAUAUUCGGAGGAACACCAGUGGCGAAGGCGGCUCACUGGUCCAUUACUGACGCUGAGGUGCGAAAGCGUGGGGAGCAAACAGGAUUAGAUACCCGUAGUCC
rnacentral:rRNA from 1 species